UACGGAAGGCAGCAGUGGGGAAUAUUGCACGAUGGGCGAAAGCCUGAUGCAGCUAUGCCGCGUGUAUGAAGAAGGCCUUAGGGUUGUAAAGUACUUUCAUCGGGGAGGAAAAAACAAAACUAAUAAUUUUAUUUCUUGACGUUACCCGAAAAAGAAGCACCGGCUAACUCCGUGCCAGCAGCCGCGGUAAUACGGAGGGUGCUAGCGUUAAUCAGAAUUACUGGGCGUAAAGAGCACGUAGGUGGUUUUUUUAAGUCAGAUGUGAAAUCCCUGGGCUUAACCUAGGAACUGCAUUUUGAAACUGAAAUACUAGAGUAUCGUAGAGGGAGGUAGAAUUCUAGGUGUAGCGGUGAAAUGCGUAGAUAUCUGGAGGAAUACCUGUGGCGAAAGCGGCCUCCUAAACGAAUACUGACACUGAGGUGCGAAAGCGUGGGGAGCAAACAGGGAUUAGGAUACC
rnacentral:rRNA from 1 species